AGAGUUUGAUCCUGGCUCAGGAUGAACGCUAGCUACAGGCUUAACACAUGCAAGUCGAGGGGCAGCAUUUUAGUUUGCUUGCAAACUGAAGAUGGCGACCGGCGCACGGGUGAGUAACACGUAUCCAACCUGCCGAUAACUCCGGGAUAGCCUUUCGAAAGAAAGAUUAAUACCGGAUAGCAUACGAAUAUCGCAUGAUAUUUUUAUUAAAGAAUUUCGGUUAUCGAUGGGGAUGCGUUCCAUUAGUUUGUUGGCGGGGUAACGGCCCACCAAGACUACGAUGGAUAGGGGUUCUGAGAGGAAGGUCCCCCACAUUGGAACUGAGACACGGUCCAAACUCCUACGGGAGGCAGCAGUGAGGAAUAUUGGUCAAUGGGCGCGAGCCUGAACCAGCCAAGUAGCGUGAAGGAUGAAGGCUCUAUGGGUCGUAAACUUCUUUUAUAUGGGAAUAAAGUUUUCCACGUGUGGAAUUUUGUAUGUACCAUAUGAAUAAGGAUCGGCUAACUCCGUGCCAGCAGCCGCGGUAAUACGGAGGAUCCGAGCGUUAUCCGGAUUUAUUGGGUUUAAAGGGAGCGUAGGUGGAUUGUUAAGUCAGUUGUGAAAGUUUGCGGCUCAACCGUAAAAUUGCAGUUGAAACUGGCAGUCUUGAGUACAGUAGAGGUGGGCGGAAUUCGUGGUGUAGCGGUGAAAUGCUUAGAUAUCACGAAGAACUCCGAUUGCGAAGGCAGCUCACUAGACUGUCACUGACACUGAUGCUCGAAAGUGUGGGUAUCAAACAGGAUUAGAUACCCUGGUAGUCCACACAGUAAACGAUGAAUACUCGCUGUUUGCGAUAUACAGUAAGCGGCCAAGCGAAAGCAUUAAGUAUUCCACCUGGGGAGUACGCCGGCAACGGUGAAACUCAAAGGAAUUGACGGGGGCCCGCACAAGCGGAGGAACAUGUGGUUUAAUUCGAUGAUACGCGAGGAACCUUACCCGGGCUUAAAUUGCAACAGAAUAUAUUGGAAACAGUAUAGCCGUAAGGCUGUUGUGAAGGUGCUGCAUGGUUGUCGUCAGCUCGUGCCGUGAGGUGUCGGCUUAAGUGCCAUAACGAGCGCAACCCUUAUCUUUAGUUACUAACAGGUCAUGCUGAGGACUCUAGAGAGACUGCCGUCGUAAGAUGUGAGGAAGGUGGGGAUGACGUCAAAUCAGCACGGCCCUUACGUCCGGGGCUACACACGUGUUACAAUGGGGGGUACAGAAGGCGGCUACCUGGUGACAGGAUGCUAAUCCCAAAAACCUCUCUCAGUUCGGAUCGAAGUCUGCAACCCGACUUCGUGAAGCUGGAUUCGCUAGUAAUCGCGCAUCAGCCAUGGCGCGGUGAAUACGUUCCCGGGCCUUGUACACACCGCCCGUCAAGCCAUGAAAGCCGGGGGUACCUGAAGUACGUAACCGCAAGGAGCGUCCUAGGGUAAAACUGGUAAUUGGGGCUAAGUCGUAACAAGGUAGCCGUACCGGAAGGUGCGGCUG
rnacentral:rRNA from 1 species